UACGAAGGGUGCAAACGUUGCUCGGAAUUAUUGGGCGUAAAGCGCACGUAGGCGGCUUUGCAAGUCCCAUGUGAAAUCCCACGGCUCAACCGUGGAAGUGCAUGGGAAACUGCAGAGCUUGAGUACUUAAGAGGAUCGCGGAAUUCCCGGUGUAGAGGUGAAAUUCGUAGAUAUCGGGAGGAACACCAGUGGCGAAGGCGACUUCCUGGCCUGUUCUUGACGCUGAGGCGCGAAAGCGUGGGGAGCGAACAGG
rnacentral:rRNA from 1 species